CCUCCUCUCAACUUCUCCUACCCUAGUUCCCUGAGUGGCCACAUGUUCUUCCUCCUCGGCUCCUCCUCAUCUCCAUUCUCCACUAGUCCCCUACUCCCCUGACCCCCUGAGCAACUGCUCGAGUCCCCUCCCAAUCCAGUCCCCAAAUCCACUUUGUAUGCUUGCUCUUUUCUUCUAGAUCCUUUCUCAAAUCAAGCAGUAGCAAGUGAGUAUCAAGUGGAUCUGCAGGCUAUACCUGCAAAUUCGCGCGAGAGGGGGUGGUUGGGGGGGACGGGGUGCUGGCGAUUCAGUUUUUGCAAGUUGCAAGCUGGGAGCGAUGACUCCAUUUAUGUUAUGUGGCUUUAAGUUUCAGCAAUUCUAUCUUGACAUGUAAAUUGCAGACCACCUUUAUUUCUUUAUUUUAGAUGGUCAGGGUAAGUAGAUUACUUCAAGUAAAAGAACAAAUGUGGAAUUACUAUUUUUCAGUUGAUAAAAAUUUGUUUACAAAUUCCAAUUUAGGUAGCAAUGGGCAGAAACAGAGGAACAUCUAUGCAUUCAUUUUUGCUGAAUCUUUAGUGAAUCAUUCACUCCAUGAACUUGCACUUUCUUGCUUUUACUUGCUAUUUUUUUUCAUAAAUCUGAACCUGUUGGCCCCCCUCAUUUUUGGUUCACGCUCCGCCACUGUACAUAGCUGAAUUCAUUAAUGUGAACAAAGUUCAGUUAGUUUCUAGUGUACCAGAUCAGAACAGAGGCAUGCUCCUGGCAUGUGGAGAGUCUGGUGAGUCGUCAACUUUUUCAAGGAAGGGCCACAAACCAGACUUGUCAACUGAAUCUGGCUCAUCUCUGCAGAUCAACUCGCAUGCCGUCUCGAGGUUGGCAACGAUGCCUGAUAUGGCGGGCCGGUCCUUCCCGACAAACUUCACGCAGCAUCGUGCAAUCUGCGCCACACGCUUCAGUGCGUGCAGGUGCCAUGGCGUUGGCUCCGAACCUCAAGCUUAACCACGCCGAGGCUGUACACGUCGCUCGCCGGCUUCAGAUGACCUGUGUGAAGGUACUCAAGGUCGAUGUACCCAAGUGUGCCUCUAGCUGUGACAUCCAACCACGACAUCAGAUGUUCCGAAGACGAAGGGAGGGGCCGUAGCCGGGGAGGUGCCGGCGGCUGGCGCCGAGGAGGUGCCCGGCGACGUGACCGAGCUCGUGGCGGCGGAGGAGGAGGAGGUGUCGUCCGCGGCCAUGAAGAGGGUCCUGGCGACUGAUACCAAGUUGGAAAGUGUUUGUGCAAAUUUCCUUGAUUGAUUCUGUUACACAUGAGAGUAUACAUAGAGAGGGAGAGAGAGUCCCAAGAGUUGAGGCACGCAGGCCAUGCGGGAGACCUCAGAUCCUACAAUCUAGGAUCGAUACAACGUGAUAGUACAACGUUACAAUUGGUACAAAAAUAUACAACUUAACAUUC